rnacentral:rRNA from 1 species
AUACGUAGGUGGCAAGCGUUAUCCGGAUUUACUGGGUGUAAAGGGCGCGUAGGCGGGAAGGCAAGUCAGAUGUGAAAUCCAGGGGCUCAACCCCUGAACUGCAUUUGAAACUGCUUUUCUUGAGUGUCGGAGAGGUAGAUGGAAUUCCUAGUGUAGCGGUGAAAUGCGUAGAUAUUAGGAGGAACACCAGUGGCGAAGGCGAUCUACUGGACGAUAACUGACGCUGAGGCGCGAAAGCGUGGGGAGC